UACGUAGGCGGCGAGCGUUGUCCGGAUUUACUGGGCGUAAAGCGCGCGCAGGCGGACUGAUCAGUCUGGGGUGAAAUCUCACGGCUCAACUGUGAGCGGUCCCUGGAUACUGUCAGUCUUGAGAUGUCUAGAGGAGAGCGGAAUUCCCGGUGUAGUGGUGGAAUGCGUAGAUAUCGGGAAGAACACCAGUGGCGAAAGCGGCUCUCUGGGGACCAUCUGACGCUGAGGCGCGAAAGCGUGGGGAGCGAACCGG
rnacentral:rRNA from 1 species